UGCCUGGAAAGUCUUAUGCUAAGUGACAGAAGGAAGUCACAGCAGCCAAGUAUUCUAGGACUCCAUUCACAUUAAAGUCCAGAAUAGGGAAAGCUACAGAGACAGAGUUGGGGGCUGUCUAGGGCCAGCAAGGGAGGUGAUAGCAAAAGAUUUGGGGUUUGGGGGGGAAAUGACGAAAAUGUCCUAAAAUGGACUGCACAGAUCUACGAAUACACUGAAACCCAUCAGACUGUACACUUCAAGUGCGUGAGUGGUGCGGUAUGUAAAACCGACGUGCAAAGUGUGCGUUCCCUACCUGCAUCCACGAGGUGAGGAAGGAGCAUCCUUCCUAGAUGCAUGUCACAAGUCCGAGAGCCAGCUGGGACCCAAGAGGGUGACAAUCCAGGACAAGUCCGACUAGCUGAGAAGCCGGCCAUUCCCCCCAGGGCUCCCGGAUGGAGAAGGGAAGCAGUGCCUGCGGUCCUCACAGUCCCACUGUCACAGACCAGGACACCAAGAGGCCGGGAAGAAAAGUCACAGGGCAAGGCCUGGUGGGGGGCGGGGGCUGGAUGGAGGCCCAACAGCAACACCUGCAGGCUGAGUGUGCUGCACUCAGCACUCACACCUGUGCACCAGCCUGGCUCCUCAUUCCCUACCACCACUGGGCCUCAGUUUCCCCACCGGGCCUCAGUUUCCCCUCCAAUAUACACAGGAACUUGGGAGGAUCCUUCUGCUUCUGCCCGUGGAGGCGGGAUUACGUUCCCAUCCAAACCCACUUCCCGGGGAAAACAAGCCAAAACAAGGAACAGAAUUGGAAGGAAGGGGAGCAAAGCCAGUGAGAAGUGGUACCCUGAGCAGAGAAGCGCAAGUUCUCAGAAGACGCCACGGACGCAAACCUACUUUGGCUGUACCCGCAGCUCCACCAUGACGGGUACCACAAAUGAGAAGCCAAUCUUUUCAGACCGAGGCAGCUAGAAACAGCAAAGAACUGGGUCACACGGGUGAAGCCCCACCCCCACCAGCUUGCACAUCUCCAGGGAGGAGCUUCUGGGUCUCCUGUAUGGCAGGAGGGGACAGAAAUGUGUCCCAGUGGGUUUGGGGAAAGGAGAUGCCCCUGGCUCGUCCCGGCCUGGCACCAGCCUCAGGCCUGCAGACCUGACAAGCAGGGGCUGUUUGGAAAAUAAGCUCUCCGCAUUCUCGGCCAUUCCACUGAAGGUAAACAGUUGAGUUCUGGAAGCCGGCCACCUCCCUUUGUAUAUUUUCCAAGCAUUUUUAUGCCAGUAAAACCAUUUCAUGAGAACAGCAACUUGGGACACACAUCAGGCCUGGUUUGGUCUGGCUUGGCCGUCUGUCACUGCAGCAUCUCGGCUGAGACCUGCCUGGAGUGGCCGCUGACUCCAGAAGGUUCUCCAGCCCAGCUUCUCCUAAAGCAGCCAGAUAAGCCACAUUCACCCUGAAGGGUCUAUUCUCCUGCAAAGACCUCAAGGGGAUUUGAGUCUCUCCCUGCUGGCUGGGAAGGAGAAGGUGGGCCCUCUGGGGCUGCCACUCAGGAGGGGGGCUCAGGCAGGGUCCAGGCACACCACGGGAGAGCAGGCCGGCUCCCAAGGACCCAAGACACUGCAGAGGAGCAGACCCUGGUGGCCCAGGCUUCAUUUCACAGAUGGGGUGGGGAGGGGAGCUCAGACGGAAGGGAACUCGUUUCAAUGUGUCAUUUUGCUUUUCUGACCACACUCUGCCCCCAGAAAAAGGGAACUUUCCCAGGGACUUGUUGUGGUCUGCGGAAGGGGUCUGAUCUGUCCCUCAGCCAGUAACAAGGAGGUCUCAACGAAAGGGCCGCCCACUGUGGCCAGAGGAGGCCUGUGGGUGCCAUGCUUCCAAGUCACGCCACCCUGUGAGGCCAAGGCUGGACGCUGUUCCGCACAGAGCUCAGAGCUCAGGCUUCGGAGCGAACAAGGGACCACUGUUCCCCCUCAGAGACUAUGACAGGAGGCUGGCUGACGGUCGGGGAGGGCGGGAGGAGUUGGGACAAAGGCCUACAAAGCCCAGUGGCUGGAAUGUGACCUCUGACUUCCGCAGCAAGCAACCCAGUCACGCCCAGCCCAGGAUCCCAGGUGAGCUAGUG